UUAAAGCGAUGAUGCAGGGCCAACUCCCAUGGAAAACAACGCAGCUACAAAAAGGAUGCAGGCAACGGGAUACACUCAGAAACAGAGCAACCGCUGACACACACAGAGGAGUGAAAAGAGCAGAACACCUGCCAACGGGAACGCUUGUCUGUCUGCGUGAUGUCGGGCAGGUUCCUUUUCCUCUCCGGGCCUUGGGUUCUUCAGAGAAAGCCAGCAAAGACUUCUCCCUGCCUUUCUGAGGCCGGUAACACCUCAGCACCAGGGAAUCCAUCAAUACAUCUUUCAUAAGGGCUCCUCCACACAGUCAGGAGGAAAAUCUUUCCAACGACGCUGGCCUAUUUGUAACUUUGGCCUGAAUAAAAGGAGGGAUUGAUCAGGGCUUGGCGUGCUUCCAGGCCUAGGGAGGCAGGGCCUACAAAUGGAACUUAACUGGGCAGUUGCUCAGGACAGAGCACCCGGCAGGGCGAGGCAUGGCCUCUUAGGUGUGGGCCCUGAAGGACUAAAGAAACUCAGCCUUCCUCUGCUGGGACAGCAAAGCGGCUGCUGUCUGCACAGAAGAGGUUCAAAAGGAGCCACGGUGACGUCUUGAUGUUGGGUGCUCCAGGAGUUUCGGAUCGGUUCCCUCUCUGGGUGCUCGCCAAUGCAGUAGGAGGAGUACAGCCUUGGUGCAGCCGCCAGCCAAUCAGUCGGCACUUCCUAAUCUCCAAUAGGACUGGGGGAGCUUGAAGAUCCCCUCACAAAGCCAAGGGCAUGCAGCAUUGAAAAGGAAAUCCAAUUCCUCCAGACAUAUCCACGGAUCCAAGAUGGUGUCCACGAGCACUCAGUCGGCUGGCAGACGAGGAGAUCUGAGCUCAGCCUCGGUGGCUGCUGCUUGUUACCCCAUGGGUGACCAACUUCUCCCUCUGCCUCCUUUUCCACAAAACUGGGGUGAGGCUGCUCACUUGACAGCAGUGGUUCUCCAUCAGGGCGAGGGGCGAGGACUUUGCCCCUUCUCCUGGUGACCUAUGGAAAAGUUUGGGGACAUUUUUGGCUGUCCCGAAGGCCAGGCCGAGGGUGGUCCCUGUGUCUGGUGGGUAGAGGCCAGGGAGGCUGCCAAACACCCCACCAUGCACAGGUCAGCCCCUUCCCCUGUAUGCAGCCAAGAGUGAUCCGGAUGAAAAUGCCCACAGUGUGCCGACGUUAACCAGACCUGUCGCGAGGGAUGCUGCAGCAAGCACCGGAGAUGAGGAAGCGAGGGGCAGAUCCCAGCUCCAGGCACAGAACGGAAUGAGUUGCUUCCCGCUCUGUAGGAUUCUUCUGCUGCUCACCUCCCUCCCUGACAAGGGAGGCUAGCGUUGCACUACUACAGCCCCUCUCCCUUCCUUCCUCUUGCAUGGUUUUGGGGCAAAGACCGCCACUCUGCUUGCACCCCUGAAAGCUGGGUCGGUCCUAAAGCACCAGUCCUCACCCAAGAUCACCACAGAUGUACAGCCCAGCUUCUUCCACACUUCCUGGGCAUGAGGGCGUGACCAGGACCCCACUUGUCUCUUAAGAUGCAGUUCCUACACGGGAAUAAAUGAGACUGGAAAGCCUAAUUUAAAUCAAGAGUUGCUAUGAGGAUUAGAUGUCAGUAUUCAGUCCAAUCCCUGGCAUAUGGUAGAUGCUCAAGAAAUGAGAUUUCGGCCGGCGCUGCGGCUCACUAGGCUAAUCCUUCGCCUUGCGGCGCCGGCACACCGGGUUCUAGUCCCGGUCCAGGCGCGGGAUUCUGUCCCGGUUGCCCCUCUUCCAGGCCAGCUCUCUGCUGUGGCCCGGGAGUGCAGUGGAGGAUGGCCCAAGUACUUGGGCCCUGCACCCUCAUGGGAGACCAGGAGAAGCACCUGGCUCUUGCCAUCAGAUCAGCGCAGUGCGCCGGCCACAGCACGCCGGCUGCGGCAGCCAUUGGAGGGUGAACCAACGGCAAAGGAAGACCUUUCUCUCUGUCUCUCUCUCUC